AAGCUCGUAGUUGAAUUUCGGAAUCAAUGGGUCGGUCAUGCCAAUGGUAUGUACUGGCCUCUUUGGUUCUCACCUUCUAAGGAACCAUAAUGUCAUUUAUUUGAUGUUGUGGGAAAUUAGGACUGUUACCUUGAAAAAAUUAGAGUGUUUAAAGCAGGCCAACGCUUGAAUACGUUAGCAUGGAAUAAUGAAAUAGGACAUCGCAUUCUAUUUUGUUGGUUUCUAGGAUCGAUGUAAUGAUUAAUAGGGAUAGUUGGGGGCAUUAGUAUUCAAUUGUCAGAGGUGAAAUUCUUGGAUUUAUUGAGACUAACUACUGCGAAAGCAUUUGCCAAGGAUGUUUUCAUUAAUCAAGAACGAAAGUUAGGGGAUCGAAGACGAUCAGAUACCGUCGUAGUCUUAACCAUAAACUAUGCCGACUAGGGAUCGGAUGAUGUUGAUUUUUUAAUGACUCAUUCGGCACCUUACGGGAAACCAAAGUGUUUGGGUUCCGGGGGGAGUAUGGUCGCAAGGCUGAAACUUAAAGGAAUUGACGGAAGGGCACCACCAGGGGUGGAGCCUGCGGCUUAAUUUGACUCAACACGGGGAAACUCACCAGGUCCAGACAUAGUAAGGAUUGACAGAUUGAGAGCUCUUUCUUGAUUCUAUGGGUG
rnacentral:rRNA from 1 species